rnacentral:rRNA from 1 species
UACGGGGGGGGCAAGCGUUGUUCGGAAUUACUGGGCGUAAAGGGCCAGUAGGCGGCCAACUAAGUCCGACGUGAAAUCCCCAGGCUUAACCUGGGAACUGCGUCUGAUACUGGAUGGCUUGAAUUCGGGAGAGGGAUGCAGAAUUCCAGGUGUAGCGGUGAAAUGCGUAGAUAUCUGGAGGAAUACCGGUGGCGAAGGCGGCAUCCUGGACCGAUAUUGACACUGAUGAGCGAAAGCCAGGGGAGCAAACGGG